GAUGAAGAACGUAGUGAAAUGCGAUACUUGGUGUGAAUUGCAGAAUCCCGUGAACCAUCGAGUCUUUGAACGCAAGUUGCGCCCGAAGCCUCGGCUAAGGGCACGUCUGCCUGGGCGUCACGCAUCGCGUCUCCCCCAAACCGCCAAGGCGGAGGGGAAGGAAGAUGGCUUCCCGUGCCUCACCCGGGCGCGGUUGGCCUAAAUUUGGAGCCCGCGGCACUUAGCUCUCGCGGCGAUAGGUGGUGAACAAGGCCUUGGCCAUGCAAACAACCCGCUGCGAAGCUCUAUGUCACGUGCGCUCGUCGGACCCUUUGAAGUUGCCUUUGGUGACUUAAAACCUUUGCGACCCCAGGUCAGGCGGGGCUACCCGCUGAAUUUAAGCAUAUCAAUAAGCGGAGGA
rnacentral:misc_RNA from 1 species